GUAUCAUACCGUGUCUUUUCUGAAGGAGAUUUGGGAGCUGGAAGAAAAAUGCAUUUCAUGCUUAUUCUGAAAAUUGAGCAUUGUGGGGGACCAGAAUGGCUACAUUGCUUCUUCGCACCUUCUGCGAGGCAUAAAAGAUGGGAACUUUCCAAUUCCUAUUUGACUGAAAGAUCAUUCCAAGCCUUCCUGUGAUGUGGCACAAGGCAGGUCUCUUCAUUGAUAACAUAGACGUUUGCAGCUGCCAGUUUACAUAAUUUGGCAACCAACAAUUAUACUAUUGUGGUAUACACUCAGGGGCAUCCUCAACAGACCAAGAUUUUGUCAAAAUGACAAAAUGUGCAUAAUGAUGUUAUUACUCAAGUUCCAUCUCUUAAGUACAACACUGCAGGAUAUGUAUCUUUCCUCAUUCCUCACCCCCACCCUGUUUUCUUUCUUCAGCAUCUCAUCAAGAUAAAAUAAAAAUCUUAAUUUAAAGCAA